AAAAGCGGAGGAAAAGAAACUAACAAGGAUUCCCCUAGUAGCGGCGAGCGAAGCGGGAAGAGCUCAAAUUUAUAAUCUGGCACCUUCGGUGUCCGAGUUGUAAUCUCUAGAAGUGUUUUCCGCGUUGGACCGCACACAAGUCUGUUGGAAUACAGCGGCAUAGUGGUGAAACCCCCGUAUAUGGUGCGGACGCCCAGCGCUUUGUGAUACACUUUCAAUGAGUCGAGUUGUUUGGGAAUGCAGCUCAAAUUGGGUGGUAAAUUCCAUCUAAAGCUAAAUAUUGGCGAGAGACCGAUAGCGAACAAGUACCGUGAGGGAAAGAUGAAAAGCACUUUGGAAAGAGAGUUAACAGUACGUGAAAUUGUUGGAAGGGAAACGCUUGAAGUCAGACUUGCUUGCCGGAGCUUGCUUCGGUUUGCAGGCCAGCAUCAGUUUUCCGGGGUGGAUAAUGACGGUUUGAAGGUAGCAGUCUCGGCUGUGUUAUAGCUUUCCGUUGGAUACAUCCUGGGGGACUGAGGAACGCAGCGUGCUUUUUGCGAAAGACUCGUCUUUUUCACGCUUAGGAUGCUGGUGGAAUGGCUUUAAACGACCCGUCUUGA
rnacentral:rRNA from 1 species